GGGUUGUGAGGUUAAGCGACUAAGCGUACACGGUGGAUGCCCUGGCAGUCAGAGGCGAUGAAGGACGUGCUAAUCUGCGAUAAGCGUCGGUAAGGUGAUAUGAACCGUUAUAACCGGCGAUUUCCGAAUGGGGAAACCCAGUGUGAUUCGUCACACUAUCAUUAACUGAAUCCAUAGGUUAAUGAGGCGAACCGGGGGAACUGAAACAUCUAAGUACCCCGAGGAAAAGAAAUCAACCGAGAUUCCCCCAGUAGCGGCGAGCGAACGGGGAGCAGCCCAGAGCCUGAAUCAGUGUGUGUGUUAGUGGAAGUGUCUGGAAAGGCGCGCGAUACAGGGUGACAGCCCCGUACACAAAAAUGCACAUACUGUGAGCUCGAUGAGUAGGGCGGGACACGUGGUAUCCUGUCUGAAUAUGGGGGGACCAUCCUCCAAGGCUAAAUACUCCUGACUGACCGAUAGUGAACCAGUACCGUGAGGGAAAGGCGAAAAGAACCCCGGCGAGGGGAGUGAAAAAGAACCUGAAACCGUGUACGUACAAGCAGUGGGAGCCUCUUUAUGGGGUGACUGCGUACCUUUUGUAUAAUGGGUCAGCGACUUAUAUUCUGUAGCAAGGUUAACCGAAUAGGGGAGCCGAAGGGAAACCGAGUCUUAACUGGGCGUUAAGUUGCAGGGUAUAGACCCGAAACCCGGUGAUCUAGCCAUGGGCAGGUUGAAGGUUGGGUAACACUAACUGGAGGACCGAACCGACUAAUGUUGAAAAAUUAGCGGAUGACUUGUGGCUGGGGGUGAAAGGCCAAUCAAACCGGGAGAUAGCUGGUUCUCCCCGAAAGCUAUUUAGGUAGCGCCUCGUGAAUUCAUCUCCGGGGGUAGAGCACUGUUUCGGCAAGGGGGUCAUCCCGACUUACCAACCCGAUGCAAACUGCGAAUACCGGAGAAUGUUAUCACGGGAGACACACGGCGGGUGCUAACGUCCGUCGUGAAGAGGGAAACAACCCAGACCGCCAGCUAAGGUCCCAAAGUCAUGGUUAAGUGGGAAACGAUGUGGGAAGGCCCAGACAGCCAGGAUGUUGGCUUAGAAGCAGCCAUCAUUUAAAGAAAGCGUAAUAGCUCACUGGUCGAGUCGGCCUGCGCGGAAGAUGUAACGGGGCUAAACCAUGCACCGAAGCUGCGGCAGCGACACUAUGUGUUGUUGGGUAGGGGAGCGUUCUGU
rnacentral:rRNA from 1 species